UCUGUUCCUGAGCUGUGUGUCGUUCUUUAGUGCGUUGCGACUCGUGUGUCUCUCUCUCUGUGGAGGUGUUAAUGAUGAGCAACCGCUUCACAUAAUACUGGAACCAGCCAGCCUGAACAGACCAGACUUUAACAGACAGACACAGUCAACCACCGGACUGAAGCCAGCCUGAACAGACCAGACUUUAACAGACAGACACAGUCAACCACCGGACUGAAGCCAGCCUGAACAGACCAGACCUUAACAGACAGACACAGUCAACCACCGGACUGAAGCCAGCCUCGACAACCACAGAGAGCAGAGCAGAGGGGACUGGAAGAAUGUCAGUCUGACGGAGACAUAGACUGUUGUUUUUAUUCUCAAUCUUCAAGACUUCCACCCCCUGGAUGGUGUGCAGGACACAGCUGCUUGUGGAGUAUGGGUACAACUGCCAGCGCAGCGCCACAACCCGUCUCUGUCUCAGGCUCCAUAUCCUCUGUAGCAGCGCCCCAGCAUCCUCCUCCGCUUGAGAGUCUCCAUGGCAACGGGGCGGUGAACAGCAGGCAGUCUCUCAGCAUGAGCUCUUCCCAGACGGCGAAGAUCCACAGCGGCAAGGCCAAGUCUA